rnacentral:rRNA from 1 species
AAGAGAGGAUGGCCAAACUGUGGCCCUUGCCCGCUUUGUAAAAGGGAGCACGAAUCCAUCGAGCACCUUUUCUUCAAGUGUCGUUACACCUUGAGGCUCCGGACUCUGGUCAAGGAGUGGCUACAACUCAUCGACGUUGAUACUUCCGGUUCGGCCUUUUCGCCGAGCAUCCGAGAUUGGUGGGUUCAGAUGGCUUCCACCCAAAGGAUCCACAAGAGAGCUCUACCUACUCUAACCAUACUAGUUUCUAAGAUGAUUCAGGAUGAGCGUAACUCUCAUGUUUUUCGGAACAUUGCCGCUCCACCGUUUAUCCUUCUACAUAACAUCAAGAAAGAGGCCAUGCUUUGUGCCAUCGCAGGCGCAAUUCUUUUGGGUGAAAUCUUGCCGGGAAAGUAG